rnacentral:tRNA from 1 species
GCAUUGGUGGUGUAGUGGUGAACAUAGCUGUUUUUCACUCAAUUCAUCUGGGUUUAAUUCCCAGCCAAUGCA